rnacentral:tmRNA from 1 species
GGGUCCGUCACGGUUUCGACAGGUUGGCGAACGCUACUCUGUGAUUCAGGUCGAGAGUGAGUCUCCUCUCGCAAAUCAAAGGCUCAAAACAAAAAGUAAAUGCGAAUAACAUCGUUAGCUUUGCUCGUAAGCCUGCUCUAGUAGCAGCUGCCUAAAAACCUCUUACAGGUUCGAGCGUCUCUGGUUUGACUCCGUUAAGGACUAGAGACCAACCCCCAACGGACGCUCUAACAAGUGUUCUCUGGUUGGCUUGUUAGCUAAGACUUAAUCAGAGCAUCCUACGUUCGGGAUAAUGAACGAUUCCCGCCUUGAGGAUUAGAAAGGCUAAACCUGUGAAUGAGCGGGGGGUAAAUACCCAGUCUGGACAGCAGUUCGACUCUGCUCGGAUCCAC